AAAGACUGAAAAAAGCUGAGGAAGACUCAUUUGAAGUGCUGAAGAAGUACUGCAAAGGAGGCAAUCUUCGGAAGGUCCAGCCCUUUCUGCUUCCAGAAAAAGGCCCAGAGAACUCAUGCAUAUCGACAACUAAGUGUGUAGUGCAACUGCGGUAUAGCAAACUGUACCAGAUGAAAGUGGAUUAUAUGACUAUGGAGAGUCUCCAGAAUCAGCUUUAUGAGCUGGUCCUAAUGAUGAAAGGAUCAGAAAUAGCUGGGAUGAAGGAUACAAAGGCAGAAAGAGAAAAACAGUCUGAAUUGGAGGAAAGAUUCUUGAUUCUUACCAAACAUUCUCACAAUGGUAUCAUUGAUAUGGAGUCAAUUAGGAACAUUGACAAACCAGAAGCCAUCAUAUUUAAAGAUGAGCUUACCUUCACUGGCACAACUAAAUACUACAUUGGAGAUGGAAAGGAUGUGGAUGAAGACCGUAUUUUUA